UUGUCCGAAACGAGUUUCGAUAUCAGUAGCGUCGAUACGUCGACCCCACAGGUGUUGAUAAAAAGUUUCUCUCGGUCGGACUGGUAUUCCGGGUGCCGCGGGUCCCGGGAAGAGUCCGGGAGGUUGGAAUUUUUUUUCCGGGCCUGCCGUAGUCGAAAACUAUAUAGUAUGGGUCCCGCCGUCGUCGCUGGUCUCUUGGGUUCCUAAUGGGUCAUAAUCGCCAUGACAGCGGAACAAAUUUACGGUGUCAAUGGAACCCGGGGGAACCUGUCCCUCUUCGCAAACGACCUUAACAUUUCGUCGGGCCCUUACGAGUUCGAACAGCUCAACAACUGGUGGGCACUGUCGGCCAUAGGCUUGGCCGUCGGGACAGCGGCCGGAAAUAUCCUGGUGUGCUUGGCCAUCUGCUGGGAGAGGAGGUUGCAGAACAUGACCAACUACUUUCUCAUGUCGCUCGCCAUCACCGACCUGAUGGUCGCCAUCUUGGUGAUGCCGCUCGGCAUUUUGACGUUAUUUCGAGGCUAUUUUCCGCUUCCAUCCGUUUACUGCCUUGCUUGGAUCUGCCUGGACGUGUUGUUCUGUACGGCAUCGAUCAUGCAUCUCUGUACGAUCAGCGUCGAUCGGUACCUCUCCCUGAGGUACCCGAUGAAGUUCGGCAGAAACAAGUCACGACGCAGGGUAGUGCUGAAGAUCGUCUUCGUCUGGCUUCUAUCCAUAGCCAUGAGUUUGCCCCUGAGCCUCAUGUAUUCUAAGAACCAGGCCUCGUUGAUAAUAGAAGGGACGUGUCAAAUACCCGACCCCUUGUACAAGCUGAUCGGGUCGAUAAUAUGUUUUUACAUACCGCUGCUGGUCAUGUUGGUGACGUACGCGCUUACGGUUCGCUUGCUGGCCAAUCAGGAACAGAAACUAGGCACCGCGAACUGGUCUAGCAACUGGAUGGGACCCACGGUCCCGCCCCUAGAACGCCGAUACACGUGGAAAAAACUGCUGAUGACGAAUUCGAAAAGCAACAAAUCGUCGACGUCGCAGUACGGCCAUUCGGCCGGCUCCACCGACACCGAAAUGACGAUGCUCGACACCAACGAACUCUGGAUUCAAGAGUCGGAACCGACACCCUGCACGAUGUCCGCUCUAGGUCAGUUCGGUGCGGAAAUGUUGAAACUGUCGCGCACUUUGCAGGAAAACGCCAUAGCGCAGGACAAAACCAAAAACGAUCUGUUGGAAGGAAACUACGUCAAGUCGAUAUCAGGAAACAGUCUGGCCAACUCGCGUAGCUCCUUGCUAGUUGAGUCGUCGUCGUCGUCGUCGUCGUGGAAAACGAAACGGCGUCGCGCCUCCACCUUCCACGAAGGCGACGGGAGAGACGAGUCACCCGCGCCGAAAUGGCGGAGGCGUCGGGGUUACAGCUUCCACGAGAUAAGUGCCACCAUAACGGAGGACAGUCGCGUUGGCGCAGAUGAAAAUGCCCUGCCGCUGCCGCUGCCCUGUACGUGUCCAUAUUUCGGCAACGCUGAAAAGAGAGACGACGACCGGAAGAUGGCGCUGUCGGUCGCCAAGCCGACGUCACCGGCGGCGCUGCUGUCGCCCGGCAAAAGCAGCAACGACACGUCGCCUAGCAACGUCGUAGUGACGUGGGAAUCGAACAAGAGUCACAGGAGAGGUACGAGUUUCGGCAACACAAGGAACACCCUGCUGAGCGUCUCGCCGUCCAGCACCACCCAAAGGACACCGCUCUUACGUAGAUCCGCGACGUUGCGUCAUAACGGACAGGAUGCGACCUUGACCGACCGCAACAAGAACCCGUCGUCUCCGUGCCUCCUUCAGAGGUACAACUUCACGACGGGCACGGGCAAUAUCACGCGUAGCAUCAGGUCUCACCAUUCCCGCAACUCGAGCAUCCUGUCCAGGAACUCCUCCAGACACGGCCGUAUUAUCAAGCUGGAGCAGAAGGCGACCAAGGUGCUGGGCGUGGUGUUUUUCACUUUCGUCAUCCUGUGGGCGCCGUUUUUCAUCCUGAACCUACUGCCCGCGUUCUGUCUCGAGUGCGAGAAAAACCUCGGCGCCUGGGUAAUGCACUUGGUCACUUGGCUGGGCUACGGCAGUUCCAUGGUGAACCCCAUCUUCUACACGAUCUUCAACAAGGUGUUCCGGAACGCGUUCAAGAAGGUGCUGACGUGCCGGUACAGGAAGACGGCCUGGAGACCGCAGAGAUGACACCCGCGGGUCAAAAGACAUCAGAAGACUGAGUUAUGAAUCGGGUAACCCUGGAACGUCACAUUCCGGGUCUGACUGAAGCGGGCCGUCUUGAGUAAACCAAUCUUGAGCUAACUAGAGCCUUCGACAUUCCGAUACUUUGUAGCGUCUCCCUCUGACGUUAUAUCGAAGAAAUACGCUGCAUCUCAUUAUAGAUGAGGUACAAGCGGCUCCAGCCAAUGAGAUUUACACCUCGAAACGUAAUGUUGGCUGCAUAACCACUUUUAGAGGUUAACGUCACUGGCUACUACUGUUUAGACUAACUAGGAGAUGGUAUUUAGAAGACUUUUAGAUACUUAUAUUUUUUAUGUUCCUCUAGAUAUUUUUGCAUAUCACUUUUUUAAUACAAGAAUCUGUUUCUAUAAUAAAU